rnacentral:rRNA from 1 species
UACGGAGGGUGCAAGCGUUAUCCGGAAUGAUUGGGCGUAAAGCGUCCGCAGGUGGCGAUGUAAGUCUGCUGUUAAAGAGUGAGGCUCAACCUCAUAAGAGCAGUGGAAACUACAUAGCUAGAGUGCGGUAGGGGCAGAGGGAAUUCCUGGUGUAGCGGUGAAAUGCGUAGAGAUCAGGAAGAACACCGGUGGCGAAAGCGCUCUGCUAGGCCGCAACUGACACUGAGGGACGAAAGCUAGGGGAGCGAAUGGG